CAAUAGCGUAUAUUAAAGUUGUUGCGGUAACAAAGCUCGUAGUUGGAUUUCUACCGAAGAUAGCCGGUCGGGUCUUCGACCUUGUAUCUGGUUUUGUCUUUGGUAUCCUCAUAGGGAACGUUUCUGCGCUUUAUUGCGUGGUGCGGUAUCUAUGACUUUUACUUUGAGGAAAUUAGAGUGUUCACGGCAGGCAAACGCCUUGAAUAUAUUAGCAUGGAAUAAUAACAUAGGAUCUUCGUCCUAUUUUGUUGGUUUCUAGGGCUAAGAUAAUGAUUAAUAGGGAUAAUUGGGGGCAUCUGUAUCAACGCGUCAGAGGUGGAAUUCUUGGAUUGCGUUGCGACAAACUACUGCGAAAGCAUUUGCCAAGGAUGUUUUCAUUGA
rnacentral:rRNA from 1 species